UACGUAGGGUGCGAGCGUUGUCCGGAAUUAUUGGGCGUAAAGAGCUCGUAGGCGGUCUGUCGCGUCGGAUGUGAAAGCCCGGGGCUUAACUCCGGGUCUGCAUUCGAUACGGGCAGACUAGAGUGUGGUAGGGGAGAUCGGAAUUCCUGGUGUAGCGGUGAAAUGCGCAGAUAUCAGGAGGAACACCGGUGGCGAAGGCGGAUCUCUGGGCCGUAACUGACGCUGAGGAGCGAAAGCAUGGGGAGCGAACAGG
rnacentral:rRNA from 1 species